AGAGGCCGCUGGCACAUGUAGGAUUGCAGUGUGCCCUGCCUGGCGCCUCCUCACAUUGCAGCCUCUGCUGACUUCACUCCAGUGCUCAUGGUAUGGAGCAGCUUCACACUCAGCUGCUUCAGGAGGAUGCAGCAUUCAAGGUUCUAUCUUGGAAGCAGAGACUGUGCCCUCACCAGAUGCUGAACCUGCUGAGCACCCUGAUCUUCCACUUCACCUUCAUCAGAACUACUGGGGCUGUGGCUGAGAUGUCACAUGGCAGAUAGGAUCACAAAUUUCUGUUGUAUCUGGAUGGAGAUCAGCAGGAGGAUCUAUGGGUGAGAAGAAGCACAGUUACAGAUGGAUUCUAGAGCCUGCUUGCUGACACAGGCUUGCAACUGCGGACUUUAUAAGCUUAGUUUUUAAUCUGCUAUCAGCUAGCAUAAUACCAUAAAUGCAUAAGAAACUAAGUAUUCAGUCUUACGAGAAAUGCUAUCUUGACCUGACCCUUUCUCCAAAUAAAUUGACAAAAUAUCUCAUCGUCUAGGAUGCCAGACAGAAAUACCAGUUGCAAUGUUUUGUUGCAUAAAGUUUAUCCUAAUUUAAAUUAGUGGCAUAUAAAGUCAUCAUCUUGCUUGAACAAACAUCUUAUUAAAUUGAGCAUGUCUUUUAUCCCAUGAAAUGAAAUUAAUUUUGAGAUAGUUAUUUUUCAGUUGGAAAUUUAUUGAGUUGAUAGAAAACAAGUUAUAUAGUCUUCCAAAGAAUAUGUUACAUCCAUUUGCAUUUUGUUUUUCUUCAGCAAUGUUUGGUUUUUAGAAAAUCUUACAAGUUAAAUAUACUAAUGUAGAAAUUGAAAGAAAAUAAUCAGAGAUAGAGCAAUAAAUUUGCAAAUAAAGAUUAUUCUUAAAACAAA
ensembl:lncRNA LINC00882 long intergenic non-protein coding RNA 882